rnacentral:rRNA from 1 species
AUGCUUCCACAUACAUUUCCUGGUGGUGGUCGCGACAUGCAGCGGAGGUUCCUGGAUGCGAUGGCAAUAGUGCAAUGGUGGGGUAAACCGGAUUAUUUUAUCACAAUAACUUGCAAUCCCUAUUGGGAGGAGAUAACCGAGAAACAGUGCCUGGACAACUCCUGCAAGACCGUCCAGACCUGGUGGCAAGAGUAUACAAAGCUAAACAACGCGAUAUGA